UGGUGACUCCUACAAGACCCGGUUCCACCCAGUGUCAACCAGUGCUCUCAUCAAGAGCCCCCACCACCUGAAGAGGCUUGAGGUCCAGGCUCAGCCUGCUGGAGGCCAAGCCCUCUGGAAACAGGUGUAUUUGCAUUGUCUAGCUGUGGCUUGUGAUUCUGAGAAGGAGGGUGCCUGCAAUAAGACCUGCGUCACUGGAGAGAGGAGAUCAGCCCGCAGUGCUGAGCUGGCAGACUCUGUCAAAGGCUACAUUUCUGCUGGACCGGUUCAAAUUGCACCAGAGGGGGGUGUUGACAGUG